rnacentral:lncRNA from 1 species
UCAUCACAGGCAUAUAACUUAUCUAUAUAAAAAUCUGGUUCCCAUUCCAUCCAUGGUCAAACCCAUAUCCACAACAGGAUCGAUGACUGUAACUAUACACUAUAUACAACAGAAGGUUUAUAAUACACCAAAAGGGUAUAAACCUCUAUCUACAUUAUACUAUACUAUGGAGCGGCACAGCUAGCAGGCAAUCUCUAAUCCUGCUCCUCUCUAUACAAUACCUGCCCUGCAAUCAAAAACACCAAACUGGGGAGUGAGUAUAUAAAUACUCAAUGAGUGGAGUAGAGAGUACUAUGCACAUGAGACAAGAUAUAAUGGUGGCUCGAGAUGAAAUCUCAAGAUCAAUAACAAGAUGAACAUGAACUCAACAUAGAGAAUAUGGAAUAAAUCAUCAAUAUCACCACAAUCAAUAUCAACUCAUCUGAAGCAUAUAUGGAAUAAUCAAGUAAACAUAUAUGCUACUCAUGAAUAUGCUCAACAGAUCAUAAUGCUGGAACAUACAAAUCAGGUGUCAAUAUGC